rnacentral:ncRNA from 2 species
UUCGCGUUGCAUGACUGGCGGAAACGUGGGUCACCACAGGGGAGUGCAACGAUAGACAUGCCGGCCGCCUGGGCACUCGAA